AACGAACGCUGGCGGCAGGCCUAACACAUGCAAGUCGAACGAAGUCUUCGGACUUAGUGGCGGACGGGUGAGUAACACGUGGGAACGUGCCUUUAGGUUCGGGAUAACUCAGGGAAACUUGUGCUAAUACCGAAUGUGCCCUUCGGGGGAAAGAUUUAUCGCCUUUAGAGCGGCCCGCGUCUGAUUAGCUAGUUGGUGAGGUAAAGGCUCACCAAGGCGACGAUCAGUAGCUGGUCUGAGAGGAUGAUCAGCCACAUUGGGACUGAGACACGGCCCAAACUCCUACGGGAGGCAGCAGUGGGGAAUCUUGCGCAAUGGGCGAAAGCGUGACGCAGCCAUGCCGCGUGAAUGAUGAAGGUCUUAGGAUUGUAAAAUUCUUUCACCGGGGACGAUAAUGACGGUACCCGGAGAAGAAGCCCCGGCUAACUUCGUGCCAGCAGCCGCCGUAA
rnacentral:rRNA from 1 species